rnacentral:rRNA from 1 species
UUCGGGGNGGNUGCCACNNCAUUGCAAGNUCGCAGANCNAGNCUANNCCAAAGCUUGCUUCCCAAAGAAUUAGACGGCGGACGGGGUGGAGCUAACACGGUGGGCUAACCGUGCCUGGUAAGAUUGGGAUAACUCCGGGGAAACCGGAGCUAAUACCGGAUAACAUUUUGAACCGCAUGGUUCAAAAUUGAAAGACGGCUUCNGCUUUCACUUACCNAUGGACCCGCGGGGCAUUAGCUUGUUGGGGAGGUAACCGCUCACCCAGGGAACCAUUCNNAACCCANCUNAAAGGGGGAUCNGCCCCACUGGGACUGAAACCCCGUCCNAACUCCUUCNGGAGGGAGNAGUAGGGAAUCUUCCCCAAUGGACGAAAGUCUNACNGAACAACNCCCCCAGAACCAUUAAGGCCUUCCGGNCCUAAAGUUCUNUUGNUAGGGAAGAACCAGUACCCNANUAACUGCUGGGACCUUGNCNGGNCCUAACCCGAAAGCCNCNGGUAACUNCCUGCCCGCAGCCCCGGUAAUACCUNNGUGGCAAGCGUUGUCCCGAAUUAUUGGGCNUAAAGCGGGCGNANGNCGNUUCUUAAGUCUUAAGUGAAAGCCCACGGNUCAACCGUGGAGGGUCAUUGGAAACUUGGGAACUUGAGUGCAGAAGAGGAGAGUGGAUUUCCACGUGUAACGGUGAAAUGCGUAGAGAUGGGGAGGAACACCAGUGGCGAAGGCGACUCUCUGGUCUGUAACUGACGCUGAGGCGCGAAAGCGUGGGGAGCGAACAGGAUUAGAUACCCUGGUAGUCCACGCCGUAAACGAUGAGUGCUAAGUGUUAGAGGGUUUCCGCCCUUUAGUGCUGCAGCAAACGCAUUAAGCACUCCGCCUGGGGAGUACGGUCGCAAGACUGAAACUCAAAGGAAUUGACGGGGGCCCGCACAAGCGGUGGAGCAUGUGGUUUAAUUCGAAGCAACGCGAAGAACCUUACCAGGUCUUGACAUCCUUCGCUACUUCUAGAGAUAGAAGGUUCCCCUUCGGGGGACGAAGUGACAGGUGGUGCAUGGUUGUCGUCAGCUCGUGUCGUGAGAUGUUGGGUUAAGUCCCGCAACGAGCGCAACCCUUGAUCUUAGUUGCCAGCAUUCAGUUGGGCACUCUAAGGUGACUGCCGGUGACAAACCGGAGGAAGGUGGGGAUGACGUCAAAUCAUCAUGCCCCUUAUGACCUGGGCUACACACGUGCUACAAUGGAUGGUACAAAGGGCUGCAAGACUGCGAAGUCAAGCCAAUCCCAUAAAACCAUUCUCAGUUCGGAUUGCAGGCUGCAACUCGCCUGCAUGAAGCCGGAAU